rnacentral:rRNA from 1 species
AGUGAACGCUGGCGGUAUGCCUAACACAUGCAAGUCGAACGGCAGCACAGUAAGAGCUUGCUCUUACGGGUGGCGAGUGGCGGACGGGUGAGGAAUACAUCGGAAUCUACUUUUUCGUGGGGGAUAACGUAGGGAAACUUACUCUAAUACCGCAUACGACCUACGGGUGAAAGCAGUGGAUCUUCUGACCUUGCGCGAUUGAAUGAGCCGAUGUCGGAUUAGCUAGUUGGCGGGGUAAAGGCCCACCAAGGCGACGAUCCGUAGCUGGUCUGAGAGGAUGAUCAGCCACACUGGAACUGAGACACGGUCCAGACUCCUAAGGGAGGCAGCAGUGGGGAAUAUUGGACAAUGGGCGCAAGCCUGAUCCAGCCAUACCGCGUGGGUGAAGAAGGCCUUCGGGUUGUAAAGCCCUUUUGUUGGGAAAGAAAAGCAGCAGGUUAAUACCACGCUGUUCUGACGGUACCCAAAGAAUAAGCACCGGCUAACUUCGUG